AGAGUUUGAUCCUGGCUCAGGAUGAACGCUAGCGGCAGGCCUAACACAUGCAAGUCGAACGGUAGGGACCACUUCGGUGGUUACACGAGUGGCGCACGGGUGAGUAACGCGUAUGCAACCUACCCUUAACAGGGGGAUAGCCCGAAGAAAUUCGGAUUAAUACCCCAUAAUACUAUAAAUAAGCAUUUAUUAAUAGUAAAAACUCCGGUGGUUAAGGAUGGGCAUGCGUACCAUUAGAUAGUUGGUAAGGUAACGGCUUACCAAGUCUACGAUGGUUAGGGGGCCUGAGAGGGUGGUCCCCCACACUGGUACUGAGACACGGACCAGACUCCUACGGGAGGCAGCAGUGAGGAAUAUUGCGCAAUGGACGAAAGUCUGACGCAGCCAUGCCGCGUGCAGGAUGACGGCCCUACGGGUUGUAAACUGCUUUUAUACAGGAAGAAAACUUUCAACGUGUUGAGAGUUGACGGUACUGUAAGAAUAAGCAUCGGCUAACUCCGUGCCAGCAGCCGCGGUAAUACGGAGGAUGCAAGCGUUAUCCGGAUUUAUUGGGUUUAAAGGGUGCGUAGGCGGAAUAAUAAGUCAGUGGUGAAAUCCUGCAGCUUAACUGUAGAACUGCCAUUGAUACUGUUAUUCUUGAAUAUAGUUGAGGUAGGCGGAAUGUGUAAUGUAGCGGUGAAAUGCAUAGAUAUUACACAGAACACCGAUUGCGUAGGCAGCUUACUAAGCUAUUAUUGACGCUGAGGCACGAAAGCGUGGGGAUCGAACAGGAUUAGAUACCCUGGUAGUCCACGCUGUAAACGAUGAUCACUAGCUGUUGGCGAUACACCGAUCAGCGGCAAAGCGAAAGCAUUAAGUGAUCCACCUGGGGAGUACGGUCGCAAGAUUGAAACUCAAAGGAAUUGACGGGGGCCCGCACAAGCGGAGGAACAUGUGGUUUAAUUCGAUGAUACGCGAGGAACCUUACCUGGGCUUAAAUGCAGGACGACGAACUGGGAAACCAGUUUUCUCUUCGGAGCGGACUGCGAGGUGCUGCAUGGUUGUCGUCAGCUCGUGCCGUGAGGUGUCGGGUUAAGUACCAUAACGAGCGCAACCCCUAUCGUUAGUUGCCAGCGGAUCAUGCCGGGGACUCUAACGAAACUGCCGGUGUAAACCGAGAGGAAGGUGGGGAUGACGUCAAAUCAGCACGGCCCUUAUGUCCAGGGCUACACACGUGUUACAAUGGUCGGUACAGAGGGUAGCUACUAUGUAAAUAGAUGCCAAUCUCGAAAACCGGUCUUAGUUCGGAUCGAAGUCUGCAACUCGACUUCGUGAAGCUGGAUUCGCUAGUAAUCGCGCAUCAGCCACGGCGCGGUGAAUACGUUCCCGGGCCUUGUACACACCGCCCGUCAAGCCAUGGAAGCUGGGGGUACCUGAAGUCUGUAACCGCAAGGAGCGGCCUAGGGUAAAACUAGUGACUGGGGCUAAGUCGUAACAAGGUA
rnacentral:rRNA from 1 species